rnacentral:lncRNA from 1 species
GUUUAGUAGAAAGACAAUCCUUUUUUCUUCCAGUCAAUUUUUUCUUUGAUCUACAGAACUUGCUUCUUUUCUCUGAAGUUUUCACAAUACAGCAUGAUAGAAGGAGCACAGAGUGCCAGAGGCAGGGAAUUCCUAUGCUUCACUAGUGACUCAUAAGAAAACUUAAUAGAAGGUCUCUACUGCCUGCUGGCCCUGCAGUACCUGAUUGAUGUGGUCCCAAACUAAAGUAGGCUAACCUUCAUUGAACCAAGCACUUCAGAGCCAUGGGAAGAAGUAUGGGGGAAGGAGUCCUUGUACUCUGGCAAUGAGGAAAACAAACAUUAACAGUGCAAGACACAGUGAGAGUCACAGAUCCAUGGAUGGACGAUCCUUUUGAGGACAAUAGAGGGGGAAUUUGGAUAAGUUUCCUGAGUGAGAAACCUUCCAGAUGGCAAUCUGAAAGUUAGCUGUUCCUUCUCAAAACACAGAGCUUUCUCAAGAGAAAGAUAACACCCUCUUUCAUCAGAGCGAGCGAGCUUUCUUCAUGGUGGCAAUUUCCAGUCUCCAGUGCAAGGAGGGGAAACUGAAGGAGAAUAAGGCGGUUACAUUCAGUUAGAGCCUGAGAGCAGAAUUUGGUUAGGCUGAAGCAGCUGGAAACUGUGGAAUGUAAUACCAGAGAGGAGACUGCCACACAAAGAACUCUAAAAAUUUUGAUUUUCAGCAAACCUUCAGAAGGCAAAAGGGAAAGUUUUCCCAUGGGCCAACGUGGAUAUGUUUCUGUAAUAGUCUGCUCAGCCUUCUACAACAAGAUGUCGCAGACUGGGUGACUUAAACCAGGGAUCCUCAAACCCUGGCAAUGGAUCGGUACGGGUCAGUGGCCUGUUAGGAAUCAGGCCACGUAGCAGGAGGGUCUUGCUCUGUCACCCAGGCUGGAGUGCAAUGGCACGAUCUCAGCUGACUGCAACCUCCACCUUCCAGGCUCAAGUGAUUCUCCCACUUCAGCUUCUCAAUCCAUAUUUGGAAUAACAACAAUAUAACACUCCUUUGGUAGUUAUAUUUUCUCACCUUCUUUACAGAAGAAGAAAUCCUUACUUAGAAAGGAAAAGAAUACCUCGAAAUUUGUCACUUUGGACUUCAAACAGAGCAGCUGAAGAGCAGCAAAGGCAGGGAAAGGGCUUUCUCUGAUCUACCCUUAACCGACUAAGACACUGUAUUAGGAUCUGGUGACAUAGUGGGAUAGAAGGACAAAGCCACGCUCUUAUGAAGCUUACAUUCUAGGAUAAUUCUUUGCCAUAAACAUAAACCAAACACUUCCACUAGAAAUGCUGACCAAUGCCUGGAUUCUCUGCUCAUUCUAGGGGAAACCAGCUGCCAUAUUAAGAAAACAGUCCUAUGGAAAGGGCCAUGGAACAAAGAAGUGACUUCUGCCAACAACCUCAUGAGUGAACCUAGAAGUGGCUCAUCUAGUCCUGGUCAAAUCUUAUGGACUGUGGCUCCAACUGAUAGUGUGACUGUAACUUCAUAAGAGACGCUGAACCAGACCACCCAAUAAGACACUCCCAGAUUCCCUACUCUCAAAAGUUGUGUGAAAUAAUCACCCCCAGUUGUAUUAAACUGCUAAGUUUUGGGGUAGUGUGUUACACAGCAAUAAAUCAUAAAUACAACAUCCAAGCAAUAAAUUUCUAUGAUAAAUACAUAUGAAGAGUAGAUCUCUGUUUAUAGGCUGAGAUUUGUGUUCAUUACAG